AAGAGACAAUUAAUCCUCUCAGUAAAGCAGCCCAGUGCACCCAUGGAUUCCCAACUGUGACACAAGAGGAAUGACCAAGUGUCUGUUGUACAGCUGUUUUACUCUUUCACUUUCCUUCCAUGUACAUUUUCAGACAAGGGGAAAUCCACAGACACUGGCUAUGACAUACGCUUUUCCUGUUGUGUCCUGUACUUGGAGUCACAUUGAAAUUUGCAGCAAGACUUAACUUCCACCAGGAACUCCUCUGAAGCAGCUGUUAGCUAAGGGGUAGGUAUCUUGGGACUUAUCAGACACUGCCUAAGAGAUAGCAACUAGGUAGCAAAGGUCUGAUUAAAUGUUCUCUAAUGCUAUUAGGUUGUUUUAAAAAUAAUUACAGUUUUACAUGAACUGAAUCAAACCUUUCAGCUAAAUAUAAGUCAAUAUCAACUUUCUACUUGUGUGUUCUGUAAGAUACUAUUUCUUUUUAUGGUGCAGAAGGUACUAAGUAAUAUUUGCAGUGUCUUUAUACUUAUAAGUGAAAAGGUGUGAUUUCUGCAUUUAUGUUUUCUUUUACAACCUUGCUCUAACAGUAUAGUUUUAAUAUUUCUGUAAAUUACAUUUUGUGUAUGUGUUUGUGUGAUGGAUGGUAGAAUAUGAUGAAGAAUCAUGUUUAAUAAUAG
rnacentral:lncRNA from 1 species